ACUCCUACGGGAGGCAGCAGUAGGGAAUCUUCGGCAAUGGACGAAAGUCUGACCGAGCAACGCCGCGUGAGUGAUGAAGGCCUUCGGGUCGUAAAGCUCUGUGGGGAGGGACGAAAGGCCGGCGGAAUAAUACGACGUCGGGUUGACGGUACCUCCUUAGCAAGCACCGGCUAACUCCGUGCCAGCAGCCGCGGUAAU
rnacentral:rRNA from 1 species